AAUUCGCCCUUAGAGUUUGAUCCUGGCUCAGAGUGAACGCUGGCGGCGUGCCUAACACAUGCAAGUCGAGCGAGAACGGCUCAAACCUUCGGGUUUGAGUGUCAGCUAAGCGGCGCACGGGUGAGUAACACGUAGCUAACCUACCCCAUAGCGGGGGAUAACAGGCCGAAAGGCCUGCUAAUACCCUAUACUCCUUCCUCACACAAGUGAGGUUGUGGAAAGCGUUAUGUAGCGCUAUGGGAUGGGGCUGCGGCCUAUCAGCUAGUUGGUGGGGUAACGGCCUACCAAGGCUAUGACGGGUAGCUGGUCUGAGAGGAUGGUCAGCCACACUGGAACUGAGACACGGUCCAGACUCCUACGGGAGGCAGCAGUGGGGAAUAUUGCGCAAUGGGGGCAACCCUGACGCAGCAACGCCGCGUGGAGGAUGACGCCCUUCGGGGUGUAAACUCCUUUUGCAAGGGAAGAUGAUGACGGUAGC
rnacentral:rRNA from 1 species